AGGAGAUUACAAGAAGAAAGAAGAAUUAAAGAUAGGGUUUUGAAGCUUUAACAAAAGGUUAGUAUGUUAAAUUGUUACUUUUCCAUUCAAAUGCAUGUUUAGGUAAUUAAGUGAGCUAAUAACUUGAUUUAAAUGAAACAAAUAUGGGGAAAGAAUUAAAUUGAAAUUUUGGGCAGCUUGAGAGGAGUGUGGUUUGCAUGAAUAUGAUGCAAU
rnacentral:misc_RNA from 1 species